UGGGACUCCACAACCAAGCUAUUAGUGUUCCCUGAAACAGCCACUCCACACUGUGACUGCUUCGUGUGGACUGAAAACCCUUGCUUGCUGGCUCGGCUGAAAACAUUUGAUGUGCAUCUCCAUAUUCCAUAUCUCUGCAGUGCAUAUGUUGUAAAGUUCCAUAAGUCCAACACAGGAAGUGUCCUGUACAACAUGUCUUUUUUAAGACUUAUAGCUGGACUUCGUCCUCAAGGUGAUUUGUCAUUUUGCAAACAUGAUGGCUG
rnacentral:lncRNA from 1 species